GCAUAUCAAUAAGCGGAGGAAAAGAAACCAACAGGGAUUGCCUCAGUAACGGCGAGUGAAGCGGCAACAGCUCAAAUUUGAAAUCUGGCCUCACGGUCCGAGUUGUAAUUUGUAGAGGAUGUUUCGAGCAUGGUCCGGCCUAAGUGUCUUGGAACAGGACGUCAUAGAGGGUGAGAACCCCGUAUGCGGUCGGGUGCCUACGCUCAUGUGAAACUCCUUCGACGAGUCGAGUUGUUUGGGAAUGCAGCUCAAAAUGGGUGGUAAAUUUCAUCUAAAGCUAAAUAUUGGCCAGAGACCGAUAGCGCACAAGUAGAGUGAUCGAAAGAUGAAAAGCACUUUGGAAAGAGAGUUAAACAGUACGUGAAAUUGUUGAAAGGGAAGCGCUUGCAACCAGACUUGGGCGCGGCCGAUCAUCCGGUGUUCUCACCGGUGCACUCGGUCGCGUGCAGGCCAGCAUCGGUUCUGGUGGCUGGAUAAAGGCCCUAGGAAUGUGGCUCCUCUCGGGGAGUGUUAUAGCCUAGGGUGCAAUGCAGCCUACCGGGACCGAGGACCGCGCUUCGGCUAGGAUGCUGGCGUAAUGGUUGUAAGUGACCCGUCUUGAAACACGGACCAAGGAGUCUAACAUCUAUGCGAGUGUUUGGGUGUCAAACCCAUACGCGUAAUGAAAGUGAACGGAGGUGAGAACCCUUAAGGGUGCAUCAUCGACCGAUCCUGAUGUCUUCGGAUGGAUUUGAGUAUGAGCAUAGCUGUUGGGACCCGAAAGAUGGUGAACUAUGCCUGACUAGGGUGAAGCCAGAGGAAACUCUGGUGGAGGCUCGCAGCGGUUCUGACGUGCAAAUCGAUCGUCAAAUUUGGGCAUAGGGGGCGAAAGACUAAUCGAACCAUCUAGUAGCUGGUUCUGCG
rnacentral:rRNA from 1 species